ensembl:lncRNA
CACAAAGAACCUGAAUGCUGUUGCAUGUGCUCAUCCUGUGUGCGUUAUCUGGACAAUGUAGGUCAAGAUGCAGAGAGUGGUGUUCUUCCCAGGGAAGGUAAGUGUUGUGUUCCGCAGGGGACCACUCGGAUUUCUCAGACAGGACCCGUCUGUAGAAGCUAGACGGAUUAAGGAUGACCCCACUCGGCAGGACAAGUCUGCUCCUAUGAGGGAGGACCUCGUGCGGCAGAAUGCUCUGGCUGUGGUCCGUCAGAGAGGGGGGGAUGCCUCAGACAGGACGGAGGUGCUAGGAGACUACAUCCUGCAGUUUGGAAAGUAUAAAGGGAAGGCUUUCAGGUGGCUUUUGGAGAAUGAUAUAGGCUACACAUCUUAUCUUAUCAAGAAUCUCCGUAAGGAGGAGGCUGCAGGUAUCUGUAGGGCCGAGGGGCAUAGCAAGGAUAGCCUACUGUCGUUUGUGAAUUUUGCUCUCAGUUUUUCAGAGAUCCAGUCUCUUCUCGCCUAUGAGGCCAGUGGAGUGGGAGUUGUGGCAGCCUCAUCAGAAGAUGACCAGCUGGUUGGCUUUGGGACCCGGGCUAAGAGCACCUGGAAGGAGACAUGGGACAGCAGAUCUGAUGGCUACGCAGCCUUCAUCAUGGGGAAGAGCUGCGUCCCAGGGACACGUAUGUACAAGCUGCAGCAGUACCUACGGAAGAGGCAGCAAUCCGCCUCUGCUUCCACACCUGCUGAGCCUGCCUCAAGAGCCCAAGCUAAACCCCUGAUGAUGGAUGAGGAUGAAGAACUGGAGAGGGCGAUGUUGAGCAUCUCACCCUCUAAGCUACAACUGCAGAGCUUUGCUGUACCAGUAGCAGCAGCAACAGCAACAGCAGCAGCUGCCAUACCAGGAGUGUCACCAGGAGCAAAGACAGGACUAUGAAUUGAUCCCAGCUAUGAUGAACUGAUCUAUGAUGAACUGAUCUAUGAUGAACUGAUCUAUGAUGAACUGAUCCAUCUACAAUGAGGUUCCAUCUGCGGCGCUGUCCAAACCCGCCCCUGACACAACUGUUCAACUGCAGGCAUCACUAGUUUAUGCUCCAGCCUCAUCAAGUGUGAAGAGGAGGACACCUGUUGCCCUUCCACCAGAGCUGGCAUUCCUAGUGAAGGAGACACCUAAUCCGAUAAAACCAAAGAGGCCUGAGUCAACUCCAGUUCCCUCAGCUGAGGCACCCGUUCCUGUCCCUCUGCCGAGGCAUGACCAAGACACAAUAAAAUGGAGCUGUUCUCAACACCAGAAGACGUGGAUGAAGACAGAGCUUAAAGAUCUCGGGCUGUGGCCUGGGUCUCGCGCAGUGCGUAACCCAGGGAACACAAUUUCACUGUGGCGUCUUCCUGCACAGCCUCAGCUCAUCAAUACGGUGGCUGAGCUCCCAUCCCCCAAUUUCUUCCAGCUCCAUCCAUUUUUUAUCUGGAAGCCUGAGAGUGACAUCAUGGCCAGGGUGAGAAACAAUUACAUCCUGCCAUGUCUUCAUAGCUGUCCUCAUCCGCAGGUGGUCUCAGCUGGUGUGGGCAGGCCUCGGGUGAUUGUUGGCACCAGUGGUCAAUAUUACAUCUUGUCCUCACGACUCUGCUGCAAGGCUUGUCGCAGGAACUGGUUUGCUGACAGUCCGCAGUGGCUGGAGAAGCUGCCCAAGCUCUUUUUCAACCUUAUGCCCGCAUUUCUGACUUACAAAAAGGCCAUCUGCAAGUCUGUGAUGGAUGAUCUGAGGCGCACUGGCAAGUCACCAAAUGAUAUGGCAAACCAGGUGAAUGAGGUCAUGCAUCUCAAGUAUGAGCGAGCUCACCUGGCCUACCUACAAACCACAGAAAGUGUCAUGAAUGCGGAGGCUGGCGUGUAUGGACAGAGGACCAUUGGGCAGUUCCUGAGGAAGGAAAACCAGUCUCGUGCUUUUGGCCAAUAUGAAGAUCCCGAUGGCUGGUGUGGAGUCUCCGUGUCAAGUCACUACCUGACUGACUGCCUUCUCAAUGAGUACAGACGUCAAGAGCCAUUCAUGUCCAAACUCCUCCAGGGCACCUUUGGGCAGGUCUUCAGGUCUGACCACACCAGGAAGGUUGCACGUAAAGUGACGUUGGCAUCUGGAGUCAUGUCCAGUUAUGCCGUCAUGAACGAGAACUGGAUGAUUGUUUCCUGGGUGAUGGUUCAGUCUGAGACUGAGAGGUCCUUGGAGCCGAUGUACCAGGGAAUGGCCAAGAGGUACAGCGACGCUGGAGUGGAAAAGGCAGGCUACCACUGGAUGGACAGGGAUUGCUGUGCUGCGUUCAAGAUCCCGGACAGCAUCCCUGCUGAGCAUUUGCGCUGGGAUGCCUGGAAGACUACUCCUUCUGUUGUUGCUGGAGCCACCUCUGGACUGCUGGCAAACACUUGUGCCUCACGGUCACAUUACAGCACCAACAUAGUUGUGAAACUGGACUUGUUCCACUGCUUGAGGCGUUUUUCACGGGAGUGCACCUCUGAGCAUCACCCUUUGUACAGCACUUUCUGCCAGCUCCUCUCCGCUGCCUUCUCUGUGGUGGAUCAGGAGGACUUAAAGAGGCUCAAGGACGCUUAUGAGUUCUGUGGCAUCCAUCCAGCCAAUCCCACCAAACAACAUACACGAGAGCACUGUAGGACCAAGAUACCACAACCCACAGAGCUGCUGGACAGAGUGGAGAAAGUCCUGAAACAUUUUCAUCUAGCUACGGACCCCAACAACGUCCCACUCUUUAAGCCAUCUAUGCUGAAGUUGUGGCGCAUACAGAGAGUGCACAUUCUCCGUGGUUGCCUCAGUGACCCUGAACUCGCAGAGGGUAUAAUGUACCGGUAUGGUGGCACUCUUCAGCUGAACCAUGUUCCUGGUGAAGGCGCCAAAGUUCCAAUAUGGAUCCCUGUCAGAGGUACAUCACAGCAGGAGGGAUACCAUUUCCACCAGGCCCAGUGGGUCACAGGGACUCAUGUCUCCACUGAAUUGUUCCAGGCCCAGGGCAUGACCGGGGUGGCACGGUGGAACUAUCAACGGCUGGUGGACCUUAAGCAGCCAGGUGUCAUCCUCCCUGCUGUGUUUGAUCCAGCUUUAUUAGUGGAGUUGAACUCUGCCUCUAAGACAGUGACUGGGCAAGACAAGUACCUUGCACUCCACCUCUCUGACAGAGACACCGGAGAGAGGUUUGGUCUAGAGUACCAAGAACCAGGCUGCCGUCCAGUCCCUCUGGAUUGGGACAAACAUAGAACCCAAAAGAGAGGUGAAUUUGCUGCUGUUGUGCCUCCAUCCAGUGUGCAGGCACCCGGUCCUGCCCAAGCCCUAGAAGCAACACCCCCCUCCAGCUGGACACCGCCACCUGGCACACCAUCCCCUGGACCAGCACCCUCUUCCAGCUGGACACCGCCGCCUGGCACACCAUCCCCUGGACCAGCACCCUCCUCCAGCUGGACACCGCCGCCUGGCACACCAUCCCCUGGACCAGCACCAUCCGUUGGCCAUCCGCUCUCUGCACUUCCAAAGCAGGAGAUGUUGACAGACGACCUCCAGGAACCUCCCGCAGCAAUGGAACUCUCAUAUGCCCUGCCCCAGCGGUCCUCGCCAAGGAGUGCCCGCACUGGACCCAUUAAGUCGGGUGGACGGGUUUUUGUGUUAGACCACACACGCUGGACGCCACCAAUGAAAAGUGCUGUUGACUGCUUGCUGCAGAAAUACCAUGGGGAGAAGGACAUGCUGCAGCGUGUGGAUCACGAUUAUGCAGACAUGGUCCAUCGGUCUGCCAGUGAUCCCAACAGUUUACUGCACCCCACAACCAGGCUACACAUAUCCCGCUAUGUGAAGCACCUGGCAAAACUCAUAAACACCAAAUCAUCUUUGAACACGAGCCCGGAAAAACUUCUGCUGACACAACAGCUGUGGCACUCUUUAACAGAGGGGAGUGAGACGGUUAGUGUUCCUGUGGUCACUAUGGGGCCGGCUAUUUACAAUCCACCUCUACCUGCAUCUGCCCUGUCCACACCUCUGUCACAAGAAUUGAUAGACAAAAUUGUGGAGGGCAUCAUGAAGCAGCAGCAGCAGCAGCAGCAGCAGCAGCAACAGCAGCAGCAACCGCAGAAGAAAAGGCAGACAAAGACCUGUCGUGCCUGUGGACAGCCCAAGUCUCAAUAUGAGACUGAUGGAUCCUCCAUCCACUUUUUUCACCAGCAAGGGCCUGUGCGCUAUUUUUAUUGUUCUAGAAGGGUGCAUCAGAUUUAUGCUGCUGAGGGACUCUCAGACCCCACAAUGCCCUUUGAAGACUUUUCCCAGACAGAGUUCUACCAGAGGGAGCUGGAGGCCACCAGGAAACGGGUGGAGGAUAUGAAAGAUAAAAAGAGGAAAAGACCAGAAUCACAACAUAAAGGCCACCUCUGCAGAUUCUGCCACUUGGAGCUGAAACAGGGACCAAACAGCCCACACAUCCAUACGGGCUUCCCUGGAGUGGCAGGGAAAUAUAUUUACUGCCCAUCGAAAGUGUACUCUCUAUACCGAAAUAAGGGCAUGACCAAGGAGAUGACCUGGACGGAGUUUCAGGAGUCUCCUUUCUAUGAGGCUGAGAGACAAAGAUGGGUGGAAGGA